UUGGGGUGUGUGCUCCCUGUGAGAGAGUUCUGUGUGGCAGCACGAAGAGCUGCCCAUUCCCCCCAAUUCUCAGAUUCAUCUGUCUUUAUUUCUUUUUUUAUGAGCACUGCUACUUGUCCUUGGGGGCCCUUUUGAAAGGGCCUCCACCAUAAUAGCACAGGAUGGACCACCUGUAGGGCUUCACUCCAAUUCCACCAUCCCUUCCUCCUAAAGUAUCCACCACGGGGAGGUGUGCCCAGAAGAAGGUUCAAGCACACCUUCCCCGCUCUUCUCACCUACCUGGGGUACUACUGAUACAUACAGAAGAUUUACUGGUUCCUUCUAUAUGAAGUGCACUGCAGAGGCCACAAUCAAGGAGGACUUCCCUCUCGAGGGAAAGGAGGGCCAGGUCUCACUGUUCCUGUAAUUGAGCAAGAUGACACUCAGAUUUCCUUCUACCCGAGCCAACAAUGUCCCAGCCCAGUUCCCACAAAGAAAACAUUCUCCUUCCUCUUGUGGGAGCAUAUUACCACUGAUUGCCCUUUCAAAACCAUAGUAGUUUUCUUGAUUUGGUUCCUUUUUCAGGAAAAAAGGAGUUAUACGGAACAUCAGAGACUCUGAAACACCUCGACGUGUCUCUGUGGGUCUUUCAGGUUAAAGAAAGGGGUAGAAGGAGAGACCCAGUGUGUAAGUAUCCCCCUCCCCCCGCCGUAGGCUGAGUCCUUUGGACCCUGUCAAGCUUGCCUGUGAUGUAAAAGGCUCAGACACAUCUGCUUGGGACAAGAGACAGGCCUGGGGCCAGGGUGUCAGUCACCAGGAAGCAAGUUACAGCUGAGAAUGAAUUUUGCCCAGCAAACCACUAUCAGGUCGGAGGUCCCUGCCACUCUUAGUUUCUAAUACUUCUCUAUGCUACCAGGGCAGACACAAAGUGAGCAUGACCUGAAGAUUCUAAAUAGGCAGCUGAAGCUGGAGUUCAAUGCGUUAAAAAGAUCCAAGAUUGGGGCGCCUGGGUGGUUCAGUCGGUUAAAAGUCAGUCUGCCUGGAGCUCAGGUCACCAUCCCAGGGUCCUAGGAUGGGGCCCAC